UAUGGUCACAUCAUGUUGAAACACCGAUUCCCGUACGAUCGCCGAAGUUAAGCAACGUCGAGACUGGUCAGUACCUAGAUGGGUGAUCGUUUAGGAACACCAGGUGUUGUAAG